rnacentral:rRNA from 1 species
GAUGAACGCUGGCGGCGUGCCUAAUACAUGCAAGUCGAGCGAACGGACGAGAAGCUUGCUUCUCUGAUGUUAGCGGCGGACGGGUGAGUAACACGUGGAUAACCUACCUAUAAGACUGGGAUAACUUCGGGAAACCGGAGCUAAUACCGGAUGAUAUUUUGAACCGCAUGGUUCAAAAGUGAAAGACGGUCUUGCUGUCACUUAUAGAUGGAUCCGCGCUGCAUUAGCUAGUUGGUAAGGUAACGGCUUACCAAGGCAACGAUGCAUAGCCGACCUGAGAGGGUGAUCGGCCACACUGGAACUGAGACACGCUCCAGACCCCUACGGGAGGAAGCAGUAGGGAAUCUUCCGCAAUGGGCGAAAGCCUGACGGAGCAACGCCGCGUGAGUGAUGAAGGUCUUCGGAUCGUAAAACUCUGUUAUUAGGGAAGAACAUAUGUGUAAGUAACUGUGCACAUCUUGACGGUACCUAAUCAGAAAGCCACGGCUAACUACGUG